AACGCAUCUUGCGCUCCUUGGUAUUCCGAGGAGCACGCCUGUUUGAGUGUCAUCGAAAUCUCGAACCGAAGCCUUCGAUCCGUCGGAGCCUCGGUCUCGGAACUCUGGGGGUCUGCGGGCGGCGACGUCGGCUCCCCUCAAAAGCAUUAGCUGUGGGGCGUGACCUGCGCGGCACGGCCUCCUCGACGUCAUAAUGAUCGUCGUGGGCUGGAAGCGCACGGAUCGACGUGUCCCAUGCUUCCCAACCUGCUACGUAAAUCGAUGCUUGGCCUCAAAUCAGGCGGGACUACCCGCUGAACUUAA
rnacentral:rRNA from 1 species